rnacentral:rRNA from 1 species
GACGAACGCUGGCGGCGUGCUUAACACAUGCAAGUCGAACGGAAAGGCCCUGCUUUUGUGGGGUGCUCGAGUGGCGAACGGGUGAGUAACACGUGAGUAACCUGCCCUUGACUUUGGGAUAACUUCAGGAAACUGGGGCUAAUACCGGAUAGGAGCUCCUGCUGCAUGGUGGGGGUUGGAAAGUUUCGGCGGUUGGGGAUGGACUCGCGGCUUAUCAGCUUGUUGGUGGGGUAGUGGCUUACCAAGGCUUUGACGGGUAGCCGGCCUGAGAGGGUGACCGGCCACAUUGGGACUGAGAUACGGCCCAGACUCCUACGGGAGGCAGCAGUGGGGAAUAUUGCACAAUGGGCGGAAGCCUGAUGCAGCAACGCCGCGUGCGGGAUGACGGCCUUCGGGUUGUAAACCGCUUUCGCCUGUGACGCAGCGUGAGUGACGGUAAUGGGUAAAGAAGCACCGGCUAGCUACGUG